AACGAACGCUGGCGGCAUGCCUAACACAUGCAAGUCGAACGAUUGCCUUCGGGUGAUAGUGGCGCACGGGUGCGUAACGCGUGGGAAUCUGCCCUUAGGUUCGGAAUAACAGCUGGAAACGGCUGCUAAUACCGGAUGAUAUCGCGAGAUCAAAGAUUUAUCGCCUGAGGAUGUGCCCGCGUUGGAUUAGGUAGUUGGUGGGGUAAAGGCCUACCAAGCCGACGAUCCAUAGCUGGUCUGAGAGGAUGAUCAGCCACACUGGGACUGAGACACGGCCCAGACUCCUACGGGAGGCAGCAGUGGGGAAUAUUGGACAAUGGGCGCAAGCCUGAUCCAGCAAUGCCGCGUGAGUGAUGAAGGCCCUAGGGUUGUAAAGCUCUUUUACCCGGGAAGAUAAUGACUGUACCGGGAGAAUAAGCCCCGGCUAACUCCGUG
rnacentral:rRNA from 1 species